GACGAACGCUGGCGGCGUGCCUAAUACAUGCAAGUCGAGCGAGCUUGCCUAGAUGAAUUUGGUGCUUGCACCAAAUGAAACUAGAUACAAGCGAGCGGCGGACGGGUGAGUAACACGUGGGUAACCUGCCCAAGAGACUGGGAUAACACCUGGAAACAGAUGCUAAUACCGGAUAACAACACUAGACGCAUGUCUAGAGUUUAAAAGAUGGUUCUGCUAUCACUCUUGGAUGGACCUGCGGUGCAUUAGCUAGUUGGUAAGGUGACGGCUUACCAAGGCAAUGAUGCAUAGCCGAGUUGAGAGACUGAUCGGCCACAUUGGGACUGAGACACGGCCCAAACUCCUACGGGAGGCAGCAGUAGGGAAUCUUCCACAAUGGACGCAAGUCUGAUGGAGCAACGCCGCGUGAGUGAAGAAGGGUUUCGGCUCGUAAAGCUCUGUUGGUAGUGAAGAAAGAUAGAGGUAGUAACUGGCCUUUAUUUGACGGUAAUUACUUAGAAAGUCACGGCUAACUACGUGCCAGCAGCCGCGGUAAUACGUAGGUGGCAAGCGUUGUCCGGAUUUAUUGGGCGUAAAGCGAGUGCAGGCGGUUCAAUAAGUCUGAUGUGAAAGCCUUCGGCUCAACCGGAGAAUUGCAUCAGAAACUGUUGAACUUGAGUGCAGAAGAGGAGAGUGGAACUCCAUGUGUAGCGGUAGAAUGCGUAGAUAUAUGGAAGAACACCAGUGGCGAAGGCGGCUCUCUGGUCUGCAACUGACGCUGAGGCUCGAAAGCAUGGGUAGCGAACAGG
rnacentral:rRNA from 1 species